AAUCAACGCUGACGGCGUGCCUCAGACAUGCAAGUCGAACGCGAAAGUUCCCUUCGGGGAGCGAGUAGAGUGGCGCACGGGUGAGUAACACGUAGGUAAUUUGCCUUUGGGUGGGGAAUAACUCAGGGAAACUUGAGCUAACACCGCAUAAUGCAGCGGCUCGACAUCGAGACAGUUGUUAAAGCGGGGAUUCGCAAGAACCUCGCGCCUAAAGAGAAGCCUGCGGCAGAUUAGCUAGUUGGUAAGGUAAUGCUUACCAAGGCGACGAUNUGUAACCGGCCUGAGAGGGCGGUCGGUCACACU
rnacentral:rRNA from 1 species